rnacentral:rRNA from 1 species
AUACGGAGGGUCCGAGCGUUAUCCGGAAUCAUUGGGUUUAAAGGGUCCGUAGGCGGACUAUUAAGUCAGAGGUUAAAUCCCACAGCUCAACUGUGGAACUGCCUUUGAUACUGGUAGUCUUGAGUUAUAUGGAAGUAGAUAGAAUGUGUAGUGUAGCGGUGAAAUGCAUAGAUAUUACACAGAAUACCGAUUGCGAAGGCAGUCUACUACGUAUAUACUGACGCUAAGGGACGAAAGCGUGGGGAGCGAACAGGAUUAGAUACCCUGGUAGUCC